rnacentral:tRNA from 1 species
GGAGAGGUGACCGAGUGGCUUAAGGUAGCGCAUUGCUAAUGCGCCGUGCGGGUAACCGUACCGAGGGUUCGAUUCCCUUCCUCUCCG